AAGAAGCAAAGAUGUUGAGCGUCUCAAUUGCUUCCCCAGCUACCUUAACUCUCCCUCCAAAACCCAAAUCCUCAAUUCCCAAAACUUCCUUCACCGGCGUUAGAAUCCAGCACUUAUGUCCCCAACGGUUGCCUUCUCAGGCCACCUGCUUUUGGCAACCGUCACCUUCGUCCUCCGUGGUCAUGAUGGCUAAGAGAGAAGAAGAAAUGAAGGAAAUAAGAGCCAAAACCACUGAGGAAAUCAACGAUGAAGUGGUUGAAUUAAAAGGUGAGCUUUUGAUGCUUCGUCUCCAGAAAUCGGUUCGUAAUGAGUUC
rnacentral:lncRNA from 1 species